AUGGUUAGGUUUGGGAAAAAGUUGACGGCCGGCCAAGUUCCAAAGUGGAGAGGUUACUAUAUAAACUACAAGCUGAUGAAGAAGAAAGUAAAACAAUAUGGGCAGCAACUCCAACAGGGAGAGAAAGACCAUCACCGUGUUCUCAAGGAUUUCUCAAAGAUGCUUGAUGAUCAGGUAAUGCUAAGAGAUGGAUCUCUGCCAAUUCAUUACUUCAUUCUCCCUGAUCUGAGUUUAACCUGCAGACUUUAG
rnacentral:rRNA from 1 species